AUUCAAAAACUCUGAGAGAUAAAGAUGAAGGUUAAUUCAUGCAGAAAGAAGACUCAGUUCCUUGUUGAUAAGUAUGGUUGGCUAUCAGGGAACUGCAAAAUAUGCUAAUGGAGUUAUUGUUUACUUUAACAUAUUAGUGUUGGAGAGUCCACGCUCCAGACAACCUCUUCCCAGGGGCUGGAGGCACCUUUGGGAGAAGAAAGGCAGAUGAAAAAGAGAACAUGAUGUGAGCACUGAAAAGACGAGAGGCGCUCAAAAAAUGUGAACUGCUGAAUUUACUGUCUAGCUAUAAUGAGCACAGAGAGAAGAGCCUUGGGCUUUGCAAGAGCACACACUGGGCAAACUGUGAACAGCUGAGGAAGAAUAUACUAAAUAAA